GCCUGGUUGGCUCAGUUGGUAGAGCAUGAGACUCAAUCUCCCGGCUGUGAGUUCAAGCCCCAUGUUGGGCA
rnacentral:tRNA from 1 species